rnacentral:rRNA from 1 species
CCUACGGGCGGCUGCAGUGGGGAAUAUUGGACAAUGGGGGCAACCCUGAUCCAGCCAUGCCGCGUGUGUGAAGAAGGCCCUCGGGUUGUAAAGCACUUUCAGUGAGGAAGAACGCCUGGUGGUUAAUACCCAUCAGGAAAGACAUCACUCACAGAAGAAGCACCGGCUAACUCCGUGCCAGCAGCCGCGGUAAUACGGAGGGUGCGAGCGUUAAUCGGAAUUACUGGGCGUAAAGCGCGCGUAGGUGGCUUGAUAAGCCGGUUGUGAAAGCCCCGGGCUCAACCUGGGAACGGCAUCCGGAACUGGCAGGCUAGAGUGCAGGAGAGGAAGGUAGAAUUCCCGGUGUAGCGGUGAAAUGCGUAGAGAUCGGGAGGAAUACCAGUGGCGAAGGCGGCCUUCUGGACUGACACUGACACUGAGGUGCGAAAGCGUGGGUAGCAAACAGGAUUAGAUACCCUUGUAGUC